UACGUAGGGGGCAAGCGUUGUCCGGAAUCAUUGGGCGUAAAGCGCGUGUAGGCGGUUCAGUAAGUCUGCUGUGAAAGUCCAGGGCUCAACCCUGGGAUGCCGGUGGAUACUGCUGGGCUAGAGUACGGAAGAGGCGAGUGGAAUUCCCGGUGUAGCGGUGAAGUGCGCAGAUAUCGGGAGGAACACCAAUUGCGAAGGCAGCUCGCUGGGACGUUACUGACACUGAGGAGCGAAAGCGUGGGGAGCGAACAGG
rnacentral:rRNA from 1 species